CACGUAGGGGGCAAGCGUUGUCCGGAUUUAUUGGGCGUAAAGAGCUCGUAGGCGGCUUAGUAAGUCGGGUGUGAAACCUCCAGGCUCAACCCGGGGACGCCACCCGAUACUGCUGUGGCUAGAGUCCGGUAGGGGAGCGUGGAAUUCCUGGUGUAGCGGUGAAAUGCGCAGAUAUCAGGAGGAACACCAGCGGCGAAGGCGGCGCUCUGGGCCGGAACUGACGCUGAGGAGCGAAAGCGUGGGGAGCGAACAGG
rnacentral:rRNA from 1 species